UACGGGGGGGGCAAGCGUUGUUCGGAAUUACUGGGCGUAAAGGGCUCGUAGGCGGCCAACUAAGUCGGAUGUGAAAUCCCCAAGCUUAACUUGGGAACUGCAUCCGAUACUGGAUGGCUUGAAUCCGGGAGAGGGAUGCAGAAUUCCAGGUGUAGCGGUGAAAUGCGUAGAUAUCUGGAGGAAUACCGGUGGCGAAGGCGGCAUCCUGGACCGGCAUUGACGCUGAGGAGCGAAAGCCAGGGGAGCAAACAGG
rnacentral:rRNA from 1 species